UAAUAAGUGUUUUAUGGCACUUUUUAAAUCCAUAUCCACCUUGUGUGCAAUGUCAGUCGAUCUUCUUCAUGGAGAUCGACCAAACAUCAACCUUUAUUUUUUAACUGUCUGUCUGAAAACUAUUAUGAAUAAACAAUUCAAAUA
rnacentral:misc_RNA from 1 species